GACGAACGCUGGCGGCGUGCUUAACACAUGCAAGUCGAACGGUAAGGCCCUUCGGGGUACACGAGUGGCGAACGGGUGUGUAACACGUGGUGAUCUGCCUGCACUUCGGGAUAAGCCUGGGAAACUGGGUCUAAUACCGGAUAGGACCAUGGACUUCACGGUUUGUGGUGGAAAGCUUUUGCGGUGUGGGAUGGGCCCGCCGCCUAUCAGCUUGUUGGUGGGGUAAUGGCCUACCAAGGCGACGACGGGUAGCCGGCCUGAGAGGGUGUCCGGCCACACUGGGACUGAGAUUACGGCCCAGGACUCCUACGGGAGCAGCAGUGGGAAUAUUGCACAAUGGGCGCAAGCCUGAUGCAGCGACGCCGCGUGAGGGACUGACGGCCUCGGUUGUAAACCUCUUUCAAUAGGGACGAAGCGCAACGUAGACGAUACCGUAAUAGAAGAAGCAACCGGCCGAACUACGUGCCAGCAGCCG
rnacentral:rRNA from 1 species